rnacentral:rRNA from 2 species
CUCAGGACGAACGCUGGCGGCGUGCCUAAUACAUGCAAGUCGAGCGAAUCGAUGGGAGCUUGCUCCCUGAGAUUAGCGGCGGACGGGUGAGUAACACGUGGGCAACCUGCCUAUAAGACUGGGAUAACUUCGGGAAACCGGAGCUAAUACCGGAUACGUUCUUUUCUCGCAUGAGAGAAGAUGGAAAGACGGUUUCGGCUGUCACUUAUAGAUGGGCCCGCGGCGCAUUAGCUAGUUGGUGAGGUAAUGGCUCACCAAGGCGACGAUGCGUAGCCGACCUGAGAGGGUGAUCGGCCACACUGGGACUGAGACACGGCCCAGACUCCUACGGGAGGCAGCAGUAGGGAAUCUUCCGCAAUGGACGAAAGUCUGACGGAGCAACGCCGCGUGAACGAAGAAGGCCUUCGGGUCGUAAAGUUCUGUUGUUAGGGAAGAACAAGUACCAGAGUAACUGCUGGUACCUUGACGGUACCUAACCAGAAAGCCACGGCUAACUACGUGCCAG